rnacentral:lncRNA from 1 species
UGUAAAUCUCAUGAUAUUAUAGUCUUUUGGCGUUAUGUUGUGUUAAUACAUAUGUAUCUCCAGUGAAAAACACAACACAUCAUGGUAUAAUUCAUAUGCGUUUUGCCGAACAAUUGAUACUCUCUGUGAGCAUUCAUUACGUCAUGUGCAAAUGCCUUUUACAUUAUGUGCAAACAACUUAUACGUUUUGUGCAAACCUCGUUUACCUUAUGUGCAAACAUCGUUCCC